rfam:Oryza meridionalis cultivar OR44 (W2112) chromosome 3, whole genome shotgun sequence.
AAUUAGCGUAGCCAUAAGUUUCAGUGUCCAAAUUUAAUUGUCCGUCUUAUUUAAAAUUUUUUUAUAAUUAGUAUUUUUAUUGUUGUUAGAUUAUAAAAUAUGAAUAUUACUUUAUGCGUGACUUAUGUUUUUAAGUUUUUUUUAGAAAAAUAAAUAAGACGGAGAUGAAAGUUGGAUAUGUAACUUAUGGCUGUGCUUAUU